CCUACGGGAGGCAGCAGUGGGGAAUAUUGCACAAUGGGCGAAAGCCUGAUGCAGCAAUGCCGCGUGAGCGAUGAAGGUCUUCGGGUCGUAAAGCUCUGUCCUAAGGGAAGAAUACUGACGGUACCUUAGGAGGAAGCCCCGGCGAACUACGUGCAAGCAGCAGCGGUAAUACGUAGGGGGCUAGCGUUAUCCGGAAUUACUGGGCGUAAGGGGUGCGUAGGCGGCUCGUAUAGUCAGUGGGGAAAGGCUACGGCUCAACCGUAGUAAGCCUUUGAAACUGUAGGGCUUGAGUGCAGGAGAGGGGAGUAGAAUUCCCAGUGUAGCGGUGAAAUGCGUAGAUAUGGGGAGGAACACCGGUGGCGAAGGCGGCUCCCUGGACUGUAACUGACGCUGAGGCACGAAAGUGUGGGGAGCGAACAGGAUUAGAUACCCCUGUAGUC
rnacentral:rRNA from 1 species